rnacentral:rRNA from 1 species
UACGUAGGGGGGCGAGCGUUGUCCGGAAUUAUUGGGCGUAAAGAGCGUGUAGGCGGUUCGGUAAGUCUGCCGUGAAAACCUGGGGCUCAACCCUGGGCGUGCGGUGGAUACUGCCGGGCUAGAGGGUGGUAGAGGCGAGUGGAAUUCCCGGUGUAGCGGUGAAAUGCGCAGAUAUCGGGAGGAACACCAGUAGCGAAGGCGGCUCGCUGGGCCAUUCCUGACGCUGAGACGCGAAAGCUAGGGGGAGCGAACAGG